CGCGUAGGCGGCGCGGUAAGUCACUUGUGAAAUCUCUGAGCUUAACUCAGAACGGCCAAGUGAUACUGCAGUGCUAGAGUGUGGAAGGGGGCAAUCGGAAUUCUUGGUGUAGCGGUGAAAUGCGUAGAUAUCAAGAGGAACACCUGAGGUGAAGACGGGUUGCUGGGCCAACACUGACGCUGAGGCGCGAAAGCCAGGGGAGCGAAACG
rnacentral:rRNA from 1 species